rnacentral:lncRNA from 1 species
CAUAGAUGGUUUGCGGAGGGUUAAUAAACGAUUUAUCAGAAUGUCAUUAUAUUUGAUCAUAUGGCGUAGAAACGAAAUAGCUACAUUUCAUAAAGUAGUUAUUUGAACACGUGUCUCUAUAAAAUGCUCCCCAACUACUGAUAUUAUGUUAUAAUUUAGGUAUAUUCGAUGGUUUAUUUUUUUUGUUGUGACACAAAAGUUUGUAAUCUGCGUUAAAUUUACUAUUUACUAUUACGUUAUAAUUAUACUAAAUCGGUUUUACAGAUUGAAGGUAUCAAUUCGUCACCUUAAAAAUCGAUUAUCGUCUUCACCUUUUCUCUAUUGAACAACGCCAGAUUUCAACAACAACCGUUCCAUUCCAUCGGAAUUGAUUCAAGCAACUAAAUAUACCGAUUUGGUAACAGUUUUCGUCACGUAUUAUAAUGAAGUUGAUGUUUUUAAUUAGUUCCCUAUGUUAUUUUAUAUUACUGUAUGUAUUUUCUACAAAUGCCGACGUCCGUUGUGGCCAGGAUUGUUUUCCAAGUACAGAAUUACCCGACCCUCGUCAGUGUUUAAGUAACCCUGAAAAACGAACUCUAUGUAAUGGAAAACCAGGAUGUUCAUGUUGUUGCCCCUAACUUAAAUUCAUUUUAAAAUUACAUCUAUAUAAAUAAUAGGUAAAUAACAUAUAAUUAAUUUCCAAAAAUUAAAUUAUUUCAAUUCCUUUAUACAUUAUUAGUGCAACUCCUUUUACUCAAUUAAUAGAUCCUGUAUUUCACAUUAAAAAAUCUUUACCAAACUGACAAAAUUAAUUACUUAAAUAAUAUUAUAAGAGAGUGAGAUUUGUUGAUACAAUUUGAAAACUUUUAUUAUUUUUAUAAUGGCGGUAAAUAUAUUUUUUAGGGUUACAUCUUAUUCAGUAGCCAAUUUUGACUAAUAAUUAUAUUUAUUUUUUUUUCACACAAUAUAUAGUAUUAAAUUUGUUCAUUUAAAAUGUUACAACUAGCAUCAUGGUGUGGUAUGUAGUUACAUUCUAUGGGUUAAUUGUUACACUAUAGAUUACGUGUAAAUGCUUACUUUAAUCAUGUACCGAUAUAGCGAAAAAUAGGUUGUAUUUAACAAAUUGUAAUCAAUUGUAAUGGCUUAAAAAUCCAAUGUACAAAUGUUUUAAAAACCUUGUGUU